AGAGUUUGAUCCUGGCUCAGGAUGAACGCUAGCUACAGGCUUAACACAUGCAAGUCGAGGGGAAACGAUAGAGAAAGCUUGCUUUUUCUAGGCGUCGACCGGCGCACGGGUGAGUAACGCGUAUCCAACCUGCCCAUCACUUGGGGAUAACCUUGCGAAAGUAAGACUAAUACCCAAUGACGUCCAUAGAAGACAUCUGAAGGAGAUUAAAGAUUUAUCGGUGAUGGAUGGGGAUGCGUCUGAUUAGCUUGUUGGCGGGGUAACGGCCCACCAAGGCGACGAUCAGUAGGGGUUCUGAGAGGAAGGUCCCCCACAUUGGAACUGAGACACGGUCCAAACUCCUACGGGAGGCAGCAGUGAGGAAUAUUGGUCAAUGGACGAGAGUCUGAACCAGCCAAGUAGCGUGCAGGAUGACGGCCCUAUGGGUUGUAAACUGCUUUUAUAAGGGAAUAAAGUGAGUCUCGUGAGACUUUUUGCAUGUACCUUAUGAAUAAGGACCGGCUAAUUCCGUGCCAGCAGCCGCGGUAAUACGGAAGGUCCGGGCGUUAUCCGGAUUUAUUGGGUUUAAAGGGAGCGUAGGCCGGAGAUUAAGCGUGUUGUGAAAUGUAGACGCUCAACGCCUGCACUGCAGCGCGAACUGGUUUCCUUGAGUACGCACAAAGUGGGCGGAAUUCGUGGUGUAGCGGUGAAAUGCUUAGAUAUCACGAAGAACUCCGAUUGCGAAGGCAGCUCACUGGAGCGCAACUGACGCUGAAGCUCGAAAGUGCGGGUAUCGAACAGGAUUAGAUACCCUGGUAGUCCGCACGGUAAACGAUGGAUGCCCGCUGUUGGUCUGAAUAGGUCAGCGGCCAAGCGAAAGCAUUAAGCAUCCCACCUGGGGAGUACGCCGGCAACGGUGAAACUCAAAGGAAUUGACG
rnacentral:rRNA from 1 species